CUUUGUUCUGUGGUAUAACCUGACCUAUCCUGAGAUCAGAGAACUGCAAGAAAACACCUGGCUGAGGAUAAAGCAGCCAAAGAGAGGACAUUUCCUGUGAACCCUGGAAUUAUAAUGAAGGCAGGGGUGAUCCGAGGUGUAGAGUCCAGAAGAAGGCAUGGUCUCCAAAUGGCAAGCAAGAGCUCUGCUGGGUCUGACCCCUGUACAGCUGAGGUGGAAUGUCGGUGCAAUGCCCUCCAUCAGCAAAGGUCUCAAGGACAGAGUUUAAGAGAAAGCAAAGCAUUUCCCACCAACUCCUUACCUGAGAGCGUCUUCGUGAGAAUUCAUGGCACACAUGUCUCAGGACAGAGUAGAUGCUGCCUUCUUUACCUUUUCCCUCCUCAAGAAGCAGGAGCCAAUGCCAAGAGGUCAGGGCUCAUGUCUCCGUACUUCUCACGCCUCUUGUUGUCCCAAUUCUCACUCGAGUCGUAAAACUGGGAGUCAAGCAACCAGUUGUGACAAGAUGAACCCAGGAAGUACUCCUCGGCUGGGAUGCCUUCAAAGACCGAUUAUCCGAGUCCUAAGACCAGCUGAUGACCUGGGAAACUAAGGUGAUUGGUCCUCUACCUGCAGGAAGAACAGACUGGGCUGAGGCAAGUCCUCCUUGACCCAUCAGGCACCCCAAGAGGUUUUGGAGGCUCCUUCAUAUCAUAAGUCAAAAGGCACUUCCAAUCCAGUGGUAAAAGCAUGGGGAAAAAGACGUUCUCCUUUGAAAGCGGAAACGGGCCCAGGACUCACUAGUGGAAUGCGCUUCACCUCGGGCCAGCUUUUCAAGUUAGUGUCAGUCUGUCCCUGGUCGCCUGCACAACCAGGCUUUCCUAACCUUUCACCUCUCUCCUUCCCAGUGUCCUGUGGCCUCUGCCAGUCUUAAGGUGAUAGUUGAAACAGCUGCUUGCCCACGUCCGUGGUGGCGGAUUCUCAGAGUGCCAAGCACAAACCAACAGUGCCCUUAGGUGUCCUUUAACGGAAAAGCUGCUACAAAGACCACAAUGCCCAGAAUAAUCCUGAGACCCUGAUGAGGAGGAAGUGGAGUAGAGGUGGGUCUUUGACUGUUGGGAGUUCUCAGGGCUCAGGGGCUCCAAGUCACCAGGGUCAUGCCCAUUGCUGGAAAUCUUUAGGGGGUUUGCAACUCCCACAAAGCCUUCUCCAUGCUAGGCAUCCCCUGCAGAGCUGGACUGUUUGUCCUGGCAGCUGGAGGCACCAUUGCUCCCAAGUGAGCAUUUUGCCCCCGUUCUUGACCUUCCCAGUCCCAAGCCCUGGAAAGUGUUAGCGGAAAGCUCCUUAGCCCUCUGCGUGUUUCCCCUUGGCACCAGUGAGAAAGAGAUAGGAUUGUGGCCUCCGAAAAAGGGUGGACUCAGGACCUCCACCUGUCUGGGAGAUUUAGGAGGGCUCUUGGGGAAAGCCCGCCGUCCUCUCUUGGCUUGGAUUUUGCUUCUGUUCUGGAGGCAUUUAGAAGAGGAACCAGUAAAUCGUGGAACCCUUUGAGGAAGGAUUUGAGACAAUGGAUGUGGUGAGCAGAGAGUGUGGCCUGACUACUCAGAGGGACUUGAAAACUCUCUGAUGGCGAGAGAGGAGGCUUGUUUUGUGCGAUUCCAGAAGGCAGGACAGGGACGAGUCGGCAGAAACACAAUAGAAUAAAAGAUGUGUGCUUGUUCAGAAAUGUAACAAAAAUGCCCCAAUAUCCUCAUCCUAUCUCCUCAGACUUUUCUCUCUCCAGGCCACCAUCCCACCCUCAUCUGUACAGUGCCCUCCGGAGAGCAUGUGGGGUUUAUUGAAUGCACUCGGCCAUUUCCCAUCUCCUCAUCCCGCUCAAUUUCGUUCCAGUAUCACUUCCUGUUUGAAUUCCUCCCUGACCAACCCCUGGUGGAAUUUCCCACCCCCUGCUGUGUGUCCUACUGUAUUCAAGGAGCGCUUUGGUAUAGCUUAGAACGCACAUGAUUGUGUUUUCUUGUGGUGAUUGAUUAUGAAAAUGGCCACACAUUCUUCCUGUCUCUGCAUCCACAUCCCUAUGUGAUAACUUUGCACUACCUUUCUCCAAGGGCAGGAUUCUUUCUCCAUUCCUUGAAUAAAGGCUGGUCUUAUGAUUCCUUUGGUUAUUGAGACAGCAUAAAACCUGAUUCAAGCAGAGACGUGAAAUGGUCUUACACGUUGGUCUUGCCAUCUUGACCUUUUUCAAACCCUGAGAACCCGUGAGAUUGAGCCCAAGCCAGCCUCCCGGAUGAUGAGCCGCCCUGUAGAGAUGGAUCUCACUGCAGCUGCUGAGUUGACUUUUGAGCAACUGGCCCGCUGCUGACCCGGCAGCUGAUGGCAGAUACACGAGCAAGUCCAGCAGAGAGCAGCUGAGCAUGGCACAGCCCAGGAGAUCCCCAAAUUGCCAACCUGCAAAAUCAUGAGCUAAUUAAAUACUUGUUGUCUUAA